rnacentral:lncRNA from 1 species
CCCUCUCAAGACAUGUGGAGAUUAUGGGAACUACAAUUCAAGAUGAGACUUGGUUGGGGACACAGCCAAACUAUAUAAACAUCUAACAGGAAUCCUUGGUUAGAGCUUCUGCAUCUGCUUGCAGAUGGGAGAAGAGAGUGAGAAAGAAAAGUGGCCAAAUUCAAAUACCUGUGGCACGUUCAAGUGGGAAAAUAAAGAAGAAAAAGCCCAUACCACUUCAGUCUUUUUUGAUUAUAUUAAAUAUCCAGAGUUGAUGAGCUGGAGAAUGCGACUGGCAGCACAGGCCUAGGGCACCAGAGGGCAGACUGUACAGAGACCUGUGAGAAUGGUCAGAACUCCAUGGAUCAUGAUGGAAUGAUCAGGGACACUAUAAUAGCGUUCAUUUUAUGUAUUAAGCCAGAUUUGCACAACAAUUCCAUUGUAAUACAAAUGUAAUCUUUAGAAGUAAUUUUAAAGCAGCAAAUGUAGAAAUGCCAACUCUCAAGUAAAAGAAAACAAUUUUCCUAAGCCAAAUGUCUUUUGUAAGAGAUUUCAAUGGUCAUUUGAUUUUAGUUUAAAGAUCAUCUGACCUUAUGAUUCACCCGAUUCUUAAAUGCACAUCUCAAAUAUAAUUGUCUUCAUUUGGAGUUAAUGUAUAAAAAAUAAAAACAGUGAAAUAA